CUGGUAUCCCCUUUGCGUACCAGUGGAGUAGAGAGAAGGGAGAAAGAAAUAUGUCCCUGACAAACAGGGCAGGAGAGAGAAAUCUAGCCAUUUUGAUUCGCCAGCAAGUCUCUAGACUCUCCCAAGCGCUUAGUACAGUGCUCCGCACAUGGUAAGCGCUCAGUAAAUACGACGGAUUGAAAUACGAUGGAAAUCCAAUCAGAAGACAUCCCUGGACCUCAGUUUUCACCUCUGUACGGCGGAGAUCGGUGCCAGAGGCGGAAUAUCCGGUAGGGUUUCCCAAGAAAGUUUGGUUUCCUGUCCCGGAGUUGCACUCAUAGCCGAAGAGACACAGUUUGUUCUGAUUUAUGAAGCAGUGAAUUGAGACUAGGGCUUUGCUCAAGGGAAGGGAUGACGCGAGGGUGAGAUGAGGUCGCUGACGUGAGGCGCUUUGGAAAAAUACAAGUACUAUUCAAAUUUGCGGAAUUAUCAUUAUCCUUAUUAAUGCUAUUAUUAUUACUGUGAAGCAAAUCUCUCAAGUGGCCCUACUCUCAGUGCAGCCAGAGAGAAAUGAUUCAUCAGUGAUUGCACGUAACUCUUUGAAAACAGCCCUGAAUGGAGCUUCGCGUCUUUUUCUACCUUUUUUGGUGUGUCCUGAAAGUCUUCUCCUGCCUGAAACUGUCGCCCAUCAGCUCAGCACGCAGCAGCUGCUGGCGGAGCCCCAUUGUCAUCCGUCUUUCUCACGCGUUCCCCUCCGGCUGAAUUAUGUAGAAUCGACGCUGGCGUGGCUGACCACCUUCCUGGACCAGGUUUCCGCCCUGUAUCGUUAAGAGCGGCACACAGAUGACACCGAAGACGCUGGAUGUGUCGUCCGUGGCGGUCCCAGCUUCCACAGCCACGUAGGAUACCGGACACCAUCACAGUUUCGUAGACCUUCAGUUUGGCCCGAACCUCGACUCUACGUUGGUUCUUCCUUCCAUCCACCAGCCUCCCCAAGAACCUUGUAACCUCCCUGACUUGGUUCUCCACGUCGUUGCCUAGCAGGAUUCCAGUGGUCCAACUUGUGCUUCCCAAGCGCUCAAUACAGUGCUCUGCACACAGUAAGCGCUCAAUGAAUAGGAUUGAAUGAAUGAAUGACCGGGUGUCGCCUAGGUAGCGGAAUUCAGUGCCCUCCUUGGGCUCAGCACCGCCGACGAAGCCCCUCUAGAGUGAGUCGGGAUUUUUGAGAACCGGUGGGUUGGUAGCCUCGGUCUUCUUCAGGCUCAGCAUCCGCCGACAUUCUUGCGCCACCGCUUCGAAGCCGGUGGUGAUCUCCGGCUUAUCUCCCGACACCCGUGCCUGCCAGAGUCUUUUAAACCUCCGGGCCUAUCUCCGGAAAACAGACCGGCGCAGACGGGCGGUGAAUCGGAAACGGGGCAGCUUGGUUUUACUUGAACGGAGGCGUCGGAAAGGACGCGAUUCUAAGAGGCAGAGUCCGAGACGGCCCCAAGCGCGGUCAAACUGAAGGCCAGCGCGCCGGUGGUGGGAGGGAUAUGUGGAUCACCAGCGUGUCCUCUCAGCCACCCCACGCCGGGGAACUCUCUGUACCAGCAGAGUUAUCUUUGACUCUGGAGCACAGUGAUAUCGAUGAGGCCCAAGGAAGCAUUUCUGGGCGCUACAUUCUUUAUAAACUCACUUCCAAGGGUCUUAGAUUAAUCCCUGUGGUACUGUUGUCUACGGUUGACCUUUUCUGAAAGAUGGUGAACCCCAAGUGGGGCGGGGACUGUGAUUAUUCGGAUUGAACUGCACCUCCCAGUGCUUGGCACCUGGUAAACACUUAACCAAUACCAUAAUUAUCAUCAUUACUGUCCGCCUCCACUCUUAUUUAAUCGUCUCUUUGUUAUUGAGUUGAUUAGCCACCUGGGUCUAUUAUUUUAACCUACUCGCCCUCUUUUAAUUAUUAAACACUUGUCAAUUUAUAGCCGUUUCUCUCCAUCUC